GCCAGAAGGUCUCACAACAUGCAUGGAGUGAGGCCGUGUCUGGAGAAGCCUCCACGAGGAAGAAGGGUCAGAAUCACUAGCACCAGUGAAUGUGCAUUUCUGAUCAGCUGGAUACCCGGAUAAACAUGAGUGGUUGUGGUCCAGCCCAAAGCAAACAGACUUUGGCAUCGUAGUUGGGCUGUGCCCCAGAGCCACAGAGAUGCACAUUUUCUAGAAGACUUUGGGAGACACAAAGCUUUCUUCAAGACUUUAAGAUCUGGAUACAACUGAGACAUCUGAAGAAGCUACAUGUACUAUGGGUAUAUAGCUGGGAGCUGGGGACCUUGGGCCUCAUCUAUAGCAUGAGAACACUCACGGGGAAGGAAGGCUGUAGUUAGUAUUUAUGAGGAUACCCAGCUUUUGAGGACAUUGUUAGGGUUGUUAUCUUGGUUUUGUUUUUAAGAUUAAAAAAGUGUACAAGUGUU
rnacentral:lncRNA from 1 species